rnacentral:rRNA from 1 species
CAGGAUGAACGCUAGCUACAGGCUUAACACAUGCAAGUCGAGGGGAAACGACAUCGAAAGCUUGCUUUUGAUGGGCGUCGACCGGCGCACGGGUGAGUAACGCGUAUCCAACCUGCCCACCACUUGGGGAUAACCUUGCGAAAGUAAGACUAAUACCCAAUGAUAUCCCACGAAGGCAUCCGAAUGGGAUUAAAGAUUUAUCGGUGAUGGAUGGGGAUGCGUCUGAUUAGCUUGUUGGCGGGGUAACGGCCCACCAAGGCAACGAUCAGUAGGGGUUCUGAGAGGAAGGUCCCCCACAUUGGAACUGAGACACGGUCCAAACUCCUACGGGAGGCAGCAGUGAGGAAUACUGGUCAAUGGACGGGAGUCUGAACCAGCCAAGUAGCGUGCAGGAUGACGGCCCUAUGGGUUGUAAACUGCUUUUGUGCGGGGAUAAAUUGACUCACGUGUGGGUCAUUGCAGGUACCGCAUGAAUAAGGACCGGCUAAUUCCGUG